UGACACAGGGAGGUAGUGACAAGAAAUAACAAUACAAGGCAGUUAAAAUGCUUUGUAAUUGGAAUGAUAGAAAUUUAAAMACUUUUUAAAGUAUCAAUUGGAGGGCAAGUCUGGUGCCAGCAGCCGCGGUAAUUCCAGCUCCAAUAGCGUAUAUUAAAAUUGUUGCAGUUAAAAAGCUCGUAGUUGAAUUUCUGCUAAAAAUAACCGGUCUGCUUUUAAUAAAGGUGGUAUCUUGGUGUGUUUUUAGCAAUAAUGUCCUUUGAAAUGUUUUUUACUUCAUUGUAAUAAAUUAUWUUYAGGAUUUUUACUUUGAGAAAAUUAGAGUGUUUCUAGCAGGCUAAYGCUUUGAAUACUGCAGCAUGGAAUAAUAAAAUAGGAUUUUGGUUCUACAUUAUUGGUUUUAAGAGCUAAAUUAAUGAUUGAUAGGGACAGUUGGGGGCAUUUGUAUUUAACUGUCAGAGGUGAAAUUCUUAGA
rnacentral:rRNA from 1 species